rnacentral:rRNA from 1 species
GGAUCUCGAAAGCCUGUCCCAGUUCGGACUGGAGUCUGCAACCCGACUCCACGAAGUUGGAUUCGCUAGUAAUCGCGCAUCAGCCAUGGCGCGGUGAAUACGUUCCCGGGCCUUGUACACACCGCCCGUCAAGCCAUGGGAGCCGGGGGCGCCUGAAGUCCGGGACCGCGAGGACCGGCCUAGGGCGAAACUGGUAACUGGGGCUAAGUCGUAACAAGGUACC